UAGUCCACGCCGUAAACGAUGUCAACUAGCCGUUGGGACACUUGAUGUCUUAGUGGCGCAGCUAACGCGAUAAGUAACCCACCUGGGGAGUACGUUCGCAAGAAUGAAACUCAAAGGAAUUGACGGGGGCCCGCACAAGCGGUGGAGCAUGUGGUUUAAUUCGAUGAUACGCGAGGAACCUUACCAGGGCUUAAAUGUAAGUUGCAUUAGCUAGAGAUAGCUAUUUCUUCGGACCACUUACAAGGUGCUGCAUGGUUGUCGUCAGUUCGUGCCGUGAGGUGUCAGGUUAAGUCCUAUAACGAGCGCAACCCCUGUUGUUAGUUGCCAGCGAGUAAUGUCGGGAACUCUAACAAGACUGCCGGUGCAAACCGUGAGGAAGGUGGGGAUGACGUCAAAUCAUCACGGCCCUUACGUCCUGGGCUACACACGUGCUACAAUGGUCGGUACAGAGAGCAGCCACUACGCAAGUAGGAGCGAAUCUACAAAACCGAUCUCAGUUCGGAUCGGAGU
rnacentral:rRNA from 1 species